AUUGAACGCUGGCGGCAGGCUUAACACAUGCAAGUCGAGCGGGGUGAGGUGCUUCGGUACUGAUCCUAGCGGCGGACGGGUGAGUAAUGCUUAGGAAUCUGCCUAUUAGUGGGGGACAACAUUCCGAAAGGAAUGCUAAUACCGCAUACGUCCUACGGGAGAAAGCAGGGGAUCUUCGGACCUCGCGCUAAUAGAUGAGCCUACGUCGGAUUAGCUAGUUGGUGGGGUAAAGGCCUACCAAGGCGACGAUCUGUAGCGGGUCUGAGAGGAUGAUCCGCGAAACUGGGACUGAGACAGCGCUCAGACUCAUACGUGAUGCAGCAGUGGGGAAAAUUGGACAAUGGGCGGAAGCCUGAUCCAGCCAGGCCGCGUGUGUGAAGGAGGCCUUUUGGUUGUAAAGCACUUUAAGCGAGGAGGAGGCUACCUAGAUUAAUACUCUGGGAUAGUGGACGCUACUCGCAGAAUAAGCACCGGCUAACUCUGUGCCAGCAGCCGCCGUAACAC
rnacentral:rRNA from 1 species